AUGUCUGCGGCGCCAUCUUUGCUCUCGAUGGCGCCGCAGACGGCUGCUUCAGUGCUUGGCUCUCCAGUGUUUGUACUGUUUUUGUUCAUUUUUCCUGUUUUUUGUUUAACAAACACGAUCAGUUUCACCAGGGAAGAACUGCUGAACAUUCGGCAGAACACACCACAAGAUCUUUUACCGGAUUUCAAUUAUUCAGACGUUUUACUGAACGUUGUUGUCGGCGGAGCAGCGGCGCUGAUCAAACGCUUCAGGACGCGCAAACGGGGGAAGCGAGCUGGUGCGCUCGUUAGACUCAGGAAGCGCGGAUUUCGAACGCCGUUGCCUAGCAUCCAUCUGGCAAAUCUCCGCUCUCUACCCAACAAAACGGACGAAAUCCUUCUGCUCUCUCGGACAAAUAAGGAUUUCUCACACUCUGCUGCUCUGUGUUUCACGGAAACCUGGCUCAAUGACGCCAUACCGGACAGUGCGCUCCAUCUGCCGGGCUUUCAGCUGUUCAGAGCGGAUCGCGACGCAGAAUCAACGGGGAAAUCGCGCGGCGGCGGGACAUGCUUUUACAUCAAUGAACGGUGGUGUACAGAUGUAACUUUGUUAAAGAAGAUGUGCUGCUCAGAUCUCGAAACACUCUUCAUUAACUGCAAGCCGUUCUAUUCGCCGCGGGAGUUUCACUCGUUCAUUCUGGUGAGUGUUUAUAUCCCUCCGCAAGCGCACGUAAGUCUGGCUUUACAGAAACUCGCUGACCAGAUUACAGAGACAGAACAACAACACCCGGACUCUGUUUUAAUCAUUCUUGGGGACUUUAAUAAAGCCAAUCUCUCCCGUGAACUGCCAAAAUACAGACAGCAUGUUACAUGUCCCACCAGAGACAGUAAUAUAUUGGAUCACUGUUACACCACAAUAAAGGAUGCAUAUCACUCUGUUCCACGAGCAGCUUUGGGACUGUCUGAUCACUGUCUGGUUCAUCUUAUACCAACCUACAGGCAGAAACUUAAAUCUGCUAAACCUGUAGUAAAGACUGUAAAGAGAUGGACCAACGAAACAGAGCAGGAUUUACAAGCCUGUUUUGACCUCACUGAUUGGAGUGUUUUUGAAGCUGCUACCACCGAUCUAACUCACAGAGACCGUAACAUCCUAUAUUAG
rnacentral:lncRNA from 1 species